rnacentral:rRNA from 1 species
AUUGAACGCUGGCGGCAUGCCUUACACAUGCAAGUCGAACGGUAACGGGCCUUCGGGUGCCGACGAGUGGCGAACGGGUGAGUAAUGUAUCGGAACGUACCUUUCAGUGGGGGAUAACGUAGCGAAAGUUACGCUAAUACCGCAUAUUCUGUGAGCAGGAAAGCAGGGGAUCGCAAGACCUUGUGCUGAUUGAGCGGCCGAUAGCAGAUUAGCCAGUUGGUGAGGUAAAGGCUCACCAAGGCGACGAGCUGUAGCGGGUCUGAGAGGAUGAUCCGCCACACUGGAACUGAGACACGGUCCAGACUCCUACGGGAGGCAGCAGGGGGGAAUUUUGGACAAUGGGGGCAACCCUGAUCCAGCCAUGCCGCGUGAGUGAAGAAGGCCUUCGGGUUGUAAAGCUCUUUCGGCCGGGAAGAAAUCGUAUCAGCUAAUACCUGGUGCGGAUGACGGUACCGGCAUAAGAAGCACCGGCUAACUACGUGCCAGCCGCCGCAGUAAUAC